GGAAGCGUAUCUCAUCCGGUGGUGGGCACAGUCUUCAAAACUGUUGAACGGUCCAGAAGGCCGUUGAUCGGUUCGACUCCGAUACGUUUCCGCCA
rnacentral:tRNA from 1 species